CACUAUAGGCGACUGAUUAGCGCGCGAUCGCCUGUGCCAGCAGCCGCGGUAAUUCCAGCUCCAAUAGCGUAUACUAAAGUUGUUGCGGUUAAAAAGCUCGUAGUUGGAUCUUGGAAUGUGUUCAAGCGGGUCAGCUUCUGGCUGUGCGCUGCUUGACGUGUUCUUCUAUUUGGUUUUGGUGCGGUGCGCUUAACUGCGUGUCGCUCCCGGCCGAAACGUUUACCUUGAAAAAAUUAGAGUGUUCAAAGCAGACCUGUUUGAGUCUGAAUAUUCGUGCAUGGAAUAAUGAAAUAUGAAUUCGGUUCUAUUUUGUUGGUUUUCGGAACUCGAGUUAAUGAUCAAGAGGGACAGACGGGGGCAUUCGUACUCUGCCGUUAGAGGUGAAAUUCUUGGAUCGGCGGAAGACGCGCAACUGCGAAAGCAUUUGCCAAGAAUGUUUUCUUUAAUCAAGAACGAUAGUCGGAGGUUCGAAGACGAUCAGAUACCGUCCUAGUUUCGACUGUAAACUAUGCCAGCUAACGAUCAGACAGAGUUCUCUACGACUUGUCUGGCAGUUUCCGGGAAACCAAAGCGUUUGGGUUCCGGGGGAAGUAUGGUUGCAAAGCUGAAACUUAAAGGAAUUGACGGAAGGGCACCACCAGGAGUGGAGCCUGCGGCUUAAUUUGACUCAACACGGGGAAACUCACCCGGCCCGGACACAGUGAGGAUUGACAGAUUGAGAGUUCUUUCUUGAUUCUGUGGGUGGUGGUGCAUGGCCGUUCUUAGUUGGUGGAGCGAUUUGUCUGGUUAAUUCCGAUAACGAACGAGACUCUGGCAUGUUAAAUAGUCGCGGAAGUGCGUAUGCACUUGCCGAAUUGACUUCUUAGAGGGACUAGUGAUUUUAAUUCACACGAGAUUGAGCAAUAACAGGUCUGUGAUGC
rnacentral:rRNA from 1 species